rnacentral:rRNA from 1 species
AAACAGAAUUUAAUUUAUAUUAAAAACUUUAGUUUUUCAUAUUUUAUAGUAAAUAAGUAUUGUGAAAGAAAGGUGAAAAGAUUUUUUUAAAAAUAUUAAAAGAUUCUGAAAUUUAAUGUUGUAGCAAUUAAACUAUUUUAGUUUAAUGUACCUCUUGUAUAAUGGACUAAUGAGUUUAUUUAAUUAGCAAGCUAAAGCGUAUAGAUAUAGGUAAUAGUUAAUUAAAUAAGACCCGAAGCUAAGUGAUCUAACUUUAAUUAAGCUGAAAGUUUUCUAAACUGGAGGGCUGAAUUCGUAAAUGUUGCAAAAUUUUGAAAAAAAUUAAAGUUAGGGGUGAAAGGCUAAUCAAACUUAGUUAUAGCUGGUUUUCUACGAAAUCUAUUUAAGUAGAGUGGUUUUUUAAAUUUUACUAAAGGUAUAAUUUUAAUUUUUUUUAUAAUUUUAAUUAAUUAAAAAAAAAAUAUAAUUUAAUUUUAGUAAAAAAAAAUACUAAACAGACUGUUAGCGCAAAGGUUUUCAGUCAAAAGGGAAACAGCCCAGACUAUAAAAUAAAGUUUUUUAUAUAUAAUACUUAAAGAUAAUAAUAUUUUAUUUAAAAUAAAAAAUAAGCUUGGAAGCAGCUAAUUUUUAAAGAAAGCGUAAUAGCUCAUUAUUUUAAAAAUUUAAAAUGGAUAUUAAAUUAUUAUAUUAUUUUCUAAAAUUUUUCUUUUUAUAUAAACUGAAUUUAUAGAUCUUUAGAUGGUAGUAGAACGUAUUGUUUUUAAUAGUAUUUUUGAAAAAAAAUAUUUAUUAAUCAAUAUUGUAUAUAUUAGUAUUAGUAAUAGAUAUAAUGUAAAAACAUUAUUGUUUAAAUCGUUAGGGUUACUUUUUUAUGAUAAACUUAAAAAGUGUAAGACAAAACCUAUGUAUUUCUAUUGUAUAGUAUAUUAUGGGGAUUAAUGUUAACAUUUAUUUUAUAAUUUUUAAUUAUAAUAAAUUAUUAUUAAAAUUGGAAUAAAUGCUGGAAAAAUCAUUAUAUAAAUUGUACUAACUCUAACACAAGUACGUAAAUUUUUACAAAAUUAAAACAUAAAAGUUAAAAAUAUUAAAGGAACUCGGCAAAUUAACUCUGUAACUUAGGGAUAAAGAGGACUAAAGUAAAAAAAAAAAAAGAGUAGCGACUGUUUAUUAAAAACAUAAGAUUUUGCUAAAUAUUAUUAUGAGGUAUAAGAUCUGACACCUGCCCAGUGCUGCAAAGUGAACGUUAUAUUUAUUUAUAAUAUAAACUCCAGUAAACGGCGGCCGUAACCUUGACGGUCCUAAGGUAGCAAAACUCCUUGGCGGGUAAGUUCCGUCCUGCAUGAAUGGUGUAACGACUGCUCUGCUGUCUCUAAUAUUUGCUUUAUGAAAUUGAAUUAGUUGUGAAGAUGCAACUAUAUAUAGCUAGACGGGAAGACCCUAUGCACCUUUACUAUACUCUGUAUGUAAUUUUUAUUCUUAAUUACAUAGUUAUGUAGUAAAUUUAAAUUAACAAUGAAAAACUACUUUUUUAAGUAUUAAAAUUAAUUAUUAUAGAUUGGUAGUUUAACUGGGGCGGUUGCCUCCUAAAAAGUAACGGAGGUAUAUAAAGAUAGAAAUAAACUUUUAUUUUUGUUUAUUUAUAGUAAUAUCUUAUUUUUUAUUUGAUUACUUUACUAACAAGUAAGGUAAGGGUGAAAGCCUAUUAUAAUGACCCGAUAUUUUUAUAUAAUAGAAAUAUCGAUUAAUGAAUAAAAGGUACGCUAGGGAUAACAGGCUAAUGAUUUUUGAGAGUUCUUAUUGAUAAGAUCGUUUGGCACCUCGAUGUCGGCUCAUCACAUCCUAGUAGUGAAUAAGUUACUAAGGGUUCGGCUGUUCGCCGAUUAAAGUGGUACGUGAGCUGGGUUUAGAACGUUGUGAGACAGUUUGGUCCCUAUCUACUAUAUUUUUUAGAAAAAUUAUAAAAAUUUAUCUUAGUACGAGAGGACUAGAGAGAGUUAACCAAUGGUUUAUUAUUUAUUAUAUUUUUAGUAUUGAUAAUUAGCUAAGUUAAUAAAAAAUAAAUUUUAAUUGAAUUUUUUUUAUAUAUUUUUCUAAUAAACUUCUUAAAGAUUUUAAGAUUUAUUAAUCGUAGUUUCCUGGUUUA